GACGAACGCUGGCGGCGUGCCUAAUACAUGCAAGUAGAACGCACAGUUUAUACCGUAGCUUGCUACACCAUAGACUGUGAGUUGCGAACGGGUGAGUAACGCGUAGGUAACCUGCCUGGUAGCGGGGGAUAACUAUUGGAAACGAUAGCUAAUACCGCAUAAUAUUGAUUAUUGCGUGAUAAUUAAUUGAAAGGUGCAAUUGCACCACUACCAGAUGGACCUGCGUUGUAUUAGCUAGUAGGUGAGGUAACGGCUCACCUAGGCGACGAUACAUAGCCGACCUGAGAGGGUGAUCGGCCACACUGGGACUGAGACACGGCCCAGACUCCUACGGGAGGCAGCAGUAGGGAAUCUUCGGCAAUGGACGAAAGUCUGACCGAGCAACGCCGCGUGAGUGAAGAAGGGUUUCGGAUCGUAAAGCUCUGUUGUAAGAGAAGAACGGGUGUGAGAGUGGAAAGUUCACACUGUGACGGUAUCUUACCAGAAAGGGACGGCUAACUACGUG
rnacentral:rRNA from 1 species